CCUACGGGGGGCAGCAGUGGGGGAUAUUGCACAAUGGGGGGAACCCUGAUGCAGCGACGCCGCGUGGGUGAAGGAGUGCUUCGGCAUGUAAAGCCCUAUCGGCAGGGAAGAAGCAAGACGGUACCUGACUAAGAAGCCCCGGCAAACUAUGUGCAGGCAGCCGAGGUACUAGGUAGGAGGCGCGGGUUAUCCGGAUUCACUGGGUGUAAGGGGAGCGUGGACGGCUAUGCAAGCCAGGGGUGAAAGCCGGGCCCAACCCCGGGACUGCCCUUGUAACUGCAGGGCUGGAGUGCGGGCGGGGUAGGCGGAAUUCGUGGUGUAGCGGUGAAAUGCGUAGAUAUCAGGAAGAACACCGGCGGCGAAGGCGGCCUGCUGGACCGCGACUGACGUUGAGGCACGAAAGCGUGGGGAGCGAACAGGAUUAGAUACCCUAGUAGUC
rnacentral:rRNA from 1 species